GCGGAUUUAGUUCAGUGGUAGAACGUCCCCUUGCCAAGGGGAAGGUCACGCGUUCGAGUCGCGCAAUCCGCU
rnacentral:tRNA from 2 species